UCAAGUCAUCUAUAUAAAAAAUACACUCACACUCAUCUCAUUGCAAGGUAAUUGACUCCAAGCUAUCACACAUACAUACAAUCUCUCCAUUUCCCUCUCUACACCUAGAGAGGCUUCACCUUCUUUUUCCACUCCUAACUUCCACGCCAGAGGGGUUUUUCGACCAACUCCGAUUGGGCAGCUCUUACGGUUCUUUCCCUUUUGCAAGCCCCUCAGUUCCUAAAUAGUCAGUCAUAGAGACCCAACUCAUUCAUCUAGUGUCGAAACCAACACAUACAACAAUUAUGGUGAUGGUUCCUGUUCCACGAAGUCGAGAAAUGGGUAUUGUCCCAUUCCUCCAUAGUUUGAUUUCCCAGUGGCAUUUUCUUACACUUCGUUUGGAUGGAGGGGUUUGGUGAGAAAAGACAAGAAAUGGUGCGUCAAUAAUUUGCAUAUAUCUCCAUCUUGCUGUCAUUGCUGUGAAGAAGUUGGUUCGCAUUCUGCUACAGAGGUUAGUUGUCAGUCUAAUGGCAACAGUGGUAACAUUCCUCAGCCUUGCAAUAUUGGGGGGUCUUCGUACCAGGGAAACAAUUACACUGAUGUGUCAGGCCUUCAUUUGUGGGUGGAUGUAUGUAUGUCAAUGAAAAUGGGCAAAUGUGUGGCCCUUACAUUGAGUAGCAGUUGUUUGAGGGUUUAUCCACUGUUUUCUUGCCUAAUGAGCUUCCUGUAUAUCCCAUUACAAACGAGACUUUGAUGAACCCCGUACCAGUUUCCCGACCAUGUUAAACUGGCUUUGCAUAUUUAACUGCGGGUAUCUCUGGGACAAUUGGGCCCACAGAUUGCUUUGCAUAUUCAAUUAGAGAUUUAGCCACAAACAAACCACUAUUUGCUGCUCGGACAAGUGCUUAUCCUGAUUGUCAGUCAGCAAUCCAACCAUGCCUCAACUUCAGCAGUUUUAGCACCAACCAACAAAUGCCAACCUUCACCUCAGCUACUUCACCUACAUCAUAUCCACCACAGUUGGAUGACAAAUGGUCUUGCUUCUUUGAGGAUGAUGACGGCAAGAAACAUGGACCAUACUCUCUCAUGAAGCUCUAUUAUUGGCAUCACUAUGGUUAUCUUUGCAAUUCAUUAAUGGUAAGUUAUAAGACUGAGACAACGUGAUGAUGAUCGUAUGCGGAGUUUAAUUUGUGGAUAUGGCGUGAUCUUGCUCAUGGUCAGCAAGUUAUAUUGUAUUGGUAGAAUUGUGCCACAACAGUUGAUAU